rnacentral:rRNA from 1 species
UACGUAGGGGGCAAGCGUUGUCCGGAUUUAUUGGGCGUAAAGAGCGUGUAGGCGGCCAUGUAGGUCCGUUGUGAAAACUCGAGGCUCAACCUCGAGACGCCGAUGGAAACCAUGUGGCUAGAGUCCGGAAGAGGAGAGUGGAAUUCCUGGUGUAGCGGUGAGAUGCGCAGAUAUCAGGAAGAACACCCGUGGCUAAGGCGGCUCUCUAGUACGGUACUGACGCUGAGACGCGAAAGCGUGGGGAGCAAACAGG